UAUUUCCUCUUUCUCCCUCAUGCUUAGUUGGUUCCUCUCUCUCAAAGGUUAUUAAAAGGAAAGAGAGAGAAAUCAAAUCAGACUCCAUCCAACCUUUCUCACCAGAGCAUAGCGGUGGCCAACGGCGGCGCCGCCUUCUAUGGCGGCUCUUCAACUCAAAACCCUAACACCUAAACACGACCCCCCCACCAAUUUUUGAUGUAGAUUUUGAAUUCGUCCUCUAAAAUAACAAAAAAACAACUAUUCUUCUGAAUCGAGAGAGAACUAAAACCCUAACCUAACAAAUUACCAAUUAACGACCUAAACACAAAAAAGACCUCCAUUCAAAGUGAGACAAGUAAUAAGUAGUAAGGAAAAGAAUGUAAUGCACGAAGACAGAGGCGAAAACGACCUCGACAGAGUUUUGAGACUCCGACGAGGUUCUCUUACCAACCUCGAAGGUACAAGACAAAAUUUUGCUCCACAAGUGUACUAUGGUUAAGGUGUAGAGAUGGUAGCAUGGCCUAGUCAAUUCAAGCCUUGAGAGAUCAACUUUUUUUUUGUACUUAUUCUCUUUUUUUAAUGUAGUUUGUUACUGUAAAAACUACCUUAUUAUAAUGUAAAAACUUAUAUUUAUAUUUUUAUUGAAAUCUUUUUAUUUA